UACGUAGGUGGCAAGCGUUGUCCGGAAUUAUUGGGCGUAAAGGGUGCGUAGGCGGUUUUUUAAGUGGGAUGUGAAAUACUAGGGCUCAACCUUAGAAUUGCAUUCCAAACUGGAAGGCUAGAGUGCAGGAGAGGAAAGCGGAAUUCCCAGUGUAGCGGUGAAAUGCGUAGAGAUUGGGAGGAACACCAGUGGCGAAGGCGGCUUUCUGGACUGUAACUGACGCUGAGGCACGAAAGCGUGGGGAGCAAAC
rnacentral:rRNA from 1 species